AGCAUAAAGAGAUAGUUAUGAGCCAUAAGAAAAUCUUAUGACUUAACUUUUACACAACUACGCUUAAGAGUUUUAGCAACAAAGAAAAAAGAUCAGUCCACUGUACAUAUUAGCAUAGAUGGGUAGCUGGUUUUUACUACCAACAGUUGACUCCAAUCCUCCUGUUGGUAAGAAUGGGAAGGAUAAUGCGUUUUGUAAGCAUUAAGUUUAUGAAUCUAUCUAAAAUAUUAUUUAAUCUCUCACUAUAAUAAUUCUGUGGUUAUGCUAAGAGCCGUGUAUAUUUCUGGUGAUUCUUUUGUUAAUCCUUCUAGGAUAGCAAAGAUGCAGAACCUUCACUGUUCUAUUAUUUUCUCAGAAUAUCUUUAAUAAGACUAACCUCUUUAAUUCUAGUGCAGAUUUCCAAAUGUGGUCACUAGCCAUUGAUUUCAUAGGAAAAAAACUCAUCAGAUUUAUAUUCCUAUUGGAGAGCUUGGCCUUCAUGAUUUCUAGAAAUGAUUCUGGCUGUGGAACCAAAGUUUCAAAUGCAGUUAAUGUUUUCAGUGCGGUUCAGUCCUAAGACUUUAUUUCGGUUGAAUAAAAUCU
rnacentral:lncRNA from 1 species